AAGCUCUGGUCUCCCUUCAACUAACGAUUUAAUCUUUCGCCUUUUACUAAAGAUUACCGUGGAGGGAGGCACAUAUUAUGAGCCUUACGCCAAUUUUUGACCCCUCCUCUGGGGGGG